rnacentral:rRNA from 1 species
CCCUGCCAUUUGUACACACCGCCCGUCGCUCCUACCGAUUGGAUGUUCCGGUGAAAUCUUGGGAUUGCGGCGAUGUAGCUAGCAAUAGCCGCGACGUUGCGAGAACUUGCUUAAACCUUAACAUCUAGAGGAAGGAGAAGUCGUAACAAG